AGACAACUUGGCUUAUCGGAUCGUAUUAUUCUUAAUAAAGUGGAUUUGGUGGAUAGAAUAGAACUUUCAAAAAUACGAAAUACAAUUGCCUCCAUAAAUGGCGUCGCGCCCAUUUAUGAAACUACACGCGCGGAAGUAAACUUAGACUUUCUAUUGGAUAUUAAAGCUUUCUCGGAGGACCGCGUUCCCACUAUUCGGCAAACUGAAGUUUCUCAUAUUAGUCCCUGUAUAAGCACAAUUACUUUGACUCGCGGAGACGAUGUACUUUCUAAAGAAGCUCUAGAAAUUUGGCUGGCUGGUCUUCUUUUUGAAAACACUAAAGAUUCUUCAGGAGAACCGACAGAAUAUUUACGUAUAAAAGGAGUUUGUGCUAUUCGAGGAGAAAAGAGAAGAAUCUUAAUUCAAGCCGUUCAAGAUU